UACGGAGGGGGCUAGCGUUGUUCGGAAUUACUGGGCGUAAAGCGCACGUAGGCGGCUUUGUAAGUUAGAGGUGAAAGCCCAGGGCUUAACCCUGGAAUUGCCUUUAAGACUGCAUCGCUAGAAUCGUGGAGAGGUGAGUGGAAUUCCGAGUGUAGAGGUGAAAUUCGUAGAUAUUCGGAAGAACACCAGUGGCGAAGGCGACUCACUGGACACGUAUUGACGCUGAGGUGCGAAAGCGUGGGGAACAAACAGG
rnacentral:rRNA from 1 species